UACGAAGGGGGCUAGCGUUGCUCGGAAUUACUGGGCGUAAAGGGCGCGUAGGCGGAUAGUUCAGUCGGGGGUGAAAGUCCAGGGCUCAACCCUGGGAUGCGGGUGGAUACUGCCGAGCUCGAGUCCGGAAGAGGCGAGUGGAAUUCCUGGUGUAGCGGUGAAAUGCGCAGAUAUCAGGAGGAACACCAAUGGCGAAGGCAGCUCGCUGGGACGUGACUGACGCUGAGACGCGAAAGCGUGGGGAGCAAACAGG
rnacentral:rRNA from 1 species